GAAUAGAUAAAUGUAUAGAUUCUCAUUCUUAUCAUUUAUUCUCACUCUCAUUCAACUUUCAUAUAUAGUUUAGCAUGCUUCCAUUCUUAAUUAUCUUUUCAUAAAAUAUACUCCAUUCAUUUAUCUAUAGAUGUAUUUUAAAUGUUUUAAUAUCAUUAAAAUUAAAAACAUUAACAAAAGUUUUCUUUAAAAAAAACAUACCUUACAAAUAGUGGUAGUGAUACAAUUUAGUUUUCACCAAUUAAUAGAAUAACAAGGAUGAUUAGAUCCUUCACCUUCACUUUGAGAGCGUUCUUGACUUUAUUCUCGUGCCCUUUGUCCAAAAAUAUAUCCAAAAAAAAAAAACCAUUGUCACCUUGGUUUUCAUAUAAUUGAUAUUUAGAAUAUAUUUGAGGAGGGAGAUACAUGAAAGGUGGAGGUGGAUGAUACAUUGGUGCUGGAGGAUGCAUGUGACGUGCUGAUAUGGCACACCAUAAUUAGGAAAUAGUGGAUAAUAACCAUAUGGUUGUGAAUAACCAGGUGUAUGUUGAAAAUAUGAAGGUUGGUCCGGUGGAUAAAAACAUUGUGUGCUAGUGUCAUGGGUUGCGCAUACUCUAAGUCCAUGACACUAGUAGAUGAAUCACUAUACCCAAGGUUACUAGAACUCGAUCUCCUACCAAAUGAAUAGCCUAUAGAAGUAUGCUUCUUACCUUUUCUUUUAAUGGAGCUCUAGGUUUACUUCUAUCUCUCCUAGGUUCAGGAAAUAUAUUUCUAUCAAAUUUUGAUCUAUCACAGAAAUGUCUACUAAUGGUACUAACCCCAUAUUCUCCUCCAUACUGACUAGAAGACCUAAUUUCACCUCUAUGUCCAUGAUCAUCAUCAAUUGGACUUAAACCACCACCAUCAGGUCCAUCACCACUCUGACUUGGCAUUGCACUAGAACUUAAAUGAGACAAUUUCGUUAUUGAGAUUUAUUAACAUUUAUUUUAUCAUCAGAGGUAUCCACAUGCAACACACCAACAUUUUCACCAUCUAACAAUGGAUUCUCUUUCUCUUGAAGCCAUUCUGAUAGUGGAUCAACAUCUUCAAAGAUAUGAUCAAGGCUAAUAGGAUUAAAACUAGCAUUUAUAUCAUCAAUGGUCAUUCUUUUUUUAUGCCUUAUCUGAAGCCUCAUAUUAUAGUAGGUAAACACUAGUUUAUCAAAUUUUUUAUACUUCAACCCAUUUCUUGCCUUGAUAUGAAUAUAACUAAAUGUGUUCUAAUUUUGUUCGCAGUUUGAUGCAAAAGUUGUUUAACUAAGCACUUUAAUUGCUAAUAUUUAUAACUCAAGAACACGUGUCAUAUAUUAUCCACCACUCAGCUGCAUAAUAUUAUUUAAAUUUCAAAAUAACUUCAAAAUGUACAAUAUAAUUAAAUAAAUUAAAUAUAAUUAAAUAAUUUAAUUAACUACUUACCCAGAUUCAUAUGCUUCCAAGCUCCUUGUGCUUGUGGAGUACCAAAUGUCUCAUAUUUAUCUUUAAAUAGUAACAACUAAAUAAAUAAAAAGAUAGUAAAAAUAAAAAAAAAUUCCAUUUCAAAUUAUGUAACUAAGUUAUAAAUAAUAGUACUUGAAUAUAACUUGAUUAACCAUUCUGACUUGAGUAUCAAAAGAAAGUUCUAAUCUUUCAAUUAUUGAUGUUGUAUCUUCUAAUGUUUCUAUUACUACGUUCUACGAAUGUUCCACCCCAAAUUGAAAUUGAGGAUUGAGAAAAUAACCUAAGCAUACUUUAUAAGAAUAUCAUCAAAUAAUAAUAAUAAUCUAAAGCUUAAAAUAAUAAAAUAUAAAAAUAGUUCUUAAUUAUAUAAAACAUUUUAUCUUACCAGCUGAAUGCAAGUCAGAAUGCAUAAAAUUUCAUCUAUUGUCAGUAAUCUGUUCGUACUCAGUGAAAUAUCGACAAUCUUGUCGAAUUGCUCAUUUAGCUCUAUCAACAGCCUCAUAAAUAAAGUCCAUUGUUGGUUUUUCAUCACCAUCCACAAGUUUCAAUACUUUUACUAGGGGCUCGUAAGCUUUAAAAAAGAGCCACUGAUCUUUUUAAAAUCAUUAAAGGUUGUUAUAUUUAAGUAAUUAUAUUAACUAAUUAUAAAAUAUUUACAUUUAAAUUAAACAUUUCUCUCAUAUCUUACUUUUGUCUUGUUAUCUCUUCAAGUUAAUGAAAUGAUUUGCAAAUCGAGUAAGAGCAGGUCGAAGUAUUUAUUUCCCUUAUGAAUACUUCAUCAAAUCAACAGUCCAAUUGUGAUUGUAUAUAACGCAAGUCACUUUCUUAGCCUCAUCUAACACAUUUGCUACGAUGAGUUUUUUCCCAAUAUCUUCAAGGAAUAAAUCUAAACAGUGAGCUACACAUGAGGUCCAAUAUAAAUGCUUUCUUUUCAACAUUAAUUUUUUCCAGCAGCUUUCUCAAAUUUCUUCUACAAAUAAAUAUAACAACCUGUAGUAGAAUUUAGCAUCUCUAUUAUGAACACUCGAGACAUCCACAGAUUUCCAAAAAAUGGUUCCUUUACUGCAAUAAACAAGGAAACUAAUUAUGUGCAUUUGAUUCAAAUUGUUGCUCCAACCAUCACACAGUAGAGUUGCAUCCAAUUCUUUCCAAUGAGUCUUUAGUUCAUUUACCCAAUCACGAACUCAUUGACACUCUGACUCCAAAUACACAUUUAAAAUCUCAUAAGGUGUUGGGAGCUUUACACCUUAUCCAACUUCUAUUUACACUUGAAUUAACUUAUACAAUUAUGGAAAAGUUGCUAAUUGAAAAAACAUUCAUAUAUUAAAAAUAUAGAUAUCGUUUCACUUAUCUCCCUGUGUAAAGUCUUAAAAAAAAGCCACUGAUCUUUAGUUAUUUUGAGCUUUUACUUUUAGCCAAUUCAGGUAUAACUCCCCUUAAGGUAAACUCGGACUCACUUGAGAUGGAUUUACUUCUUCUUUCUCCAUGAUAUUCUCCAAGUGAUCCAUGAGAAGAUUACUAUUCUUCAGAAAUGUUACUCCAAUCAUUAGUACUUCGUCUAAAUUUUUUUCCUUCUAUACCACUCGUAUUGUGACAGGACACUUUUAAAUCGAUUAUCGACUUAUCGGUACAAGAAAUUUGUUCAAAAAAAGAAAAAAACAAUCCAAACUCUAAACUUUCACACUCAAAUUUCACUAUCCAAACUCCAAACCAAACAAAAUCACAACACAAUCACAAAAUUCUCUAAAUAAAAUCUUUCAUAAAUUCAUAAUUUUUAAGUACAUGAAUUUUUUUUUGUCUUAAUUCUUGCUUCUUUUUGUUGUAACAUGCAAAGAUUGACGAGAAAUUUUUGACAAAAUCUUUACAAAUCAUUUUUAUAUUUUCGGGUAUUUUGGUAGUAAUCAAUGGUAGCCUAUGUAAAGUUUAAAGAAAUUGGAAAAAAAAUGGAGAAUGAAUGGAUCUUGUAAAGAAAAGCAAAGAAAACCUAAACCUUAAUUUUUUUUUCUCUUUCAUUUUUUACUCUCUGCCUCACGAUAGAAGAAGAGGAAGGGGGUUGAGGCCUGGGGGAACUUGGGAAACUUUUUGUUUUAAUUUUUAAUUUUUGGGUUUUGAGUGACCCGGCAAUAAUGGGUUGUGGUGGGUUAUUUUUUAAAAAAUAAAUUAUAGAUAUACAAUAAAUUUAUUUUUUCAAUGUUAGUGAUGAUAAGUGAUAAAAGUAGCAUAUUUUAAUUUUAUUCUUAAUGUAUUUUUGGAUGAUUAUUUAUGCAAAUUGAUAAUUUCUAAUCCUUUAAAUUCAUGUUUCUAUACUUAUUAGAACAUUUGGUAGCAAAAGGAGCGAAAAAAAGAUAGCAAAAAUCAGACAAGUAGAGCAAAUUUCAGGAGCCACACGGGCUAGGCCUUCCCACACGGGUUGGACACACGGCCAUGUGAGCCACACAGGAUGGACACACAGCCAUGUGCCACACCGUGUUGAUUUCUUGACUCGUAUCCCAAACACGCGAAAAAACGCAAUUUUUGGGCUUUCUAGUCAUUCGAAAGUCUAUAAAUAUCAAAUAGAAGAAAAGAAUAUGAGACAUCAGAGAAUAUUGAAGAAAACAACUCGAAGAACACCACUGAAGCCAACUCUAAAGCAGAUUUCCAUCAAGAUUGAAGGCCUCCUUUUAAUUUCUUUAAAGUUUUUAUGAUUUUCUUUAAUUCUUGUGGUUAUACUGAUUUUGAGAUAAUUUUAUUUACAAUUAUGAAUUAAUUUCCUAGAUACCUAAGGAUGAUAAACUCUGUGAUGAAAUCUAUUAUUUGAUUUAUGUUUUAUGUGAUAAGUAUUUUAUUCUUAUUCUUAGUAAUGUGUGCUUAACUAUUAUUUUAAUGUUUAUAGGAUAUUAAUUCAUAUUUAUUGUGCUUAAACCAGAGGAGAAAAAUCCUUAUUUAAGAGUAGAUCUAACAUAAUUAAGUGGAGUUGCAUGCAAUCCUAAAAAUAGAAUGACAUAAAUCUAUCGGAUUAGAGUCAAAUCUAAUAAAGGAAGAGUUAAUGUGAUAAUAAAGGUUUUAAUUAAAAAGAAAUUUCAAUUAAUUAACCUAGAGUCAACUGUUCUUACUUAAGAAAGAGAUAAUAGCAAAAUUUAAGGAUUUUGCGGAUCAAGAUAUCAAGUGAAUAAAUCAUUUAAUUCAAAUUCAUAAUGAUAGAUUAAAUCUAGGUGAAUUCUUUCUUGGGUAUUAUUUUACUUCUUGGUUAUUAUUCAAUUAUUUUCCUAAUUUAUUCUCUCCUGAGUUCUUUGGUUAAUUAAUUUAGUAUAUUUAGCUUCAAUCAAUCAUAUCAAAUUAUCAAUUAAAUAAUAGGAAAAUGGUUAUUACUAGCACUUUUAGUGCUCGUGGAUACGAUACCUCUACUCAACGUUGCUAUACUACUUAUCGACAGUCGCACUUGUCUUUGUCAUAUUUUUAGUUAGUUUCGUGAUACAUCAAGUGAUAUUUACUUUUUUUUGUAUUAUAUUGUUGAUAAUAUAAGUAACGAAUUACUUAUAUUUCUAAAUAUAAUUUUAUAUUUCUUGUAUAUAAAUAAAAAUAAAGCAUGUCACCACGUGAAGAAUUCCCAACUAAAGGAUUGGAGGGUGCACCAAGUAAUGAUAUAGGUUAGCACUUUGGAACUCUAGUGUCAUAUAUGAAAGAAAAUGUCGUAUGAAAACUUUGUAAUAAAGUUGUGAAAGAAGAAAUAACACGAUUUAAAGAGCACAUUGCUCAAAAAACCGACAAUUUUGCACCAAGCCCUAAUUUAUUGGUAUGUAAUACUUUAUUAUUAUUAUUUAAAUAUUAUCGUAAAUUUAUCAAUAAAGAUUAUACAUAAUUGAUAAUAAUAUAAAGAGUAAAUUAUUUUUAUUUUAUUAACAGCUGUCCGUAGAGAAAGUAUGACGAAUAUACUGAAAGAAAGCAACACAAAGAAAAUAAACAAAAAGAGAACAAAUGAAUUCUUAUCCCAAUUAAAAGGAGGGGAGGAUAAACACGAGGGAUUCAUUGAUGAGGUUUCUGUUAGGCAAGCAACUCGAGAAAAUAUCUAAUCACAACACGAGUGGCAUAGAAGGGAAGAAUUCGGAAGAAGUACUAGUAGUUGGAGUAACAUUUAUGAAGAAGAGUGAUCUUCUCAUGGAUCAAUUAAAGAAUAUUAUGGAGAAAGAACAAAUAAAUCCAUCCAAAGUGAGUCUAAGUUUACCUUCAGGGAGCUAUACUUGAUUGGCUAGAAGCAAAAGCUCAAAACAACCAAAGAUAAGUGGCUCUUUUUUAAAAACUUCACGCAGAAAGAUAGGUGAAGUAAUAUCUAAAUUUUUAAUAUAUGAACGACUUCCUUUUCAAUUAGCAAGCUCUCCAUGGUUGUAUAACUUAAUUCAAAUGUCAAAAGAAGUUGGACAAGGUGUAAAACUCCCAACACCUUAUGAGGUUUCAGAUGUGUAAUUGGAGUUAGAGUAUCAACGAAUUCGUGAUUGCGUAAAUGAACUAAAGACUCAUUGAAAUGAAUUGGGUGUAACUCUAAUGUGUGAUGGUUGGACCAACAAUUUGAAUUAAAUGCACAUUAUUAAUUUCCUUGUUUAUUGCAGUAAAUGAAUCGUUUUUUGAAAAUCUGUAGAUGUCUCGAGUGUUUAUAAUAGAGAUAUUAAAUUCUACUACAUUUUGUUAGAUUCAAUUGUAGAAGAAAUUGAAAAAAGUUACACUGUCCAAAUAGUGACUGAUGAGGCAACAAUAAAAGCCACUAGAAAAAAAUUAAUGUUGAAAGAAAAUAUUUAUAUUGGACCUCAUGUACAACUCACUAUUUAGAUUUAUACUUUGAAGAUAUUAGGAAAAAGUCAAGUGUAGCAAAAGUGUUAAAUGAGGCUAAGAAAGUAACUUACUUUAUAUACAAUCACAUUUGAACUAUUGAUUUGAUGAAGUAUACAUAAGGGAAGCAAAUACUUCAACCCUCUCUUACUCGAUUCGCAACUCAUUUCAUUAAACUUGAAAAGAUAACAAGACAAAAAGCAAGAUCUGAAAGAAAUAUUUAAUUCAAAGGUCAAUAUUUUAUAAUUACUUAAUAUAAUUACUUCAAUAUAACAACCUUUAAUUAUUUUAUUAAUUUCAAAUAAUUUAAAUUAUAUUAUUUUAAAAUUUUUCUUAUAAAUAUAUAGGAAUUUAAAUAACCAAAAUGGGGACGAUAAAAGUUAGGGCCUACUUAUGAAGCCAAAACAAUUGUUUUUUUUAAAAAAAUUUAGAAAAAAGCCAAUGACCUAAUAAAAAUUUACGAGCCCCUAGUAAAAGUAUUGAGACUUGUGGAUUGUGAUGAAAAACUAACAAUGGGUCUUAUUUAUAAAAUUUUUGAUAAAGCUAAAUGAGCAAUUCAACAAGAUUGUCCAUAUUUCACCGAGUACGAAAAGAUUAUUAACAUUAGAUGAAAUUUUAUGCAUUCUAACUUGCAUUCAGCUGGUAAGAUAAAAUAUUUCAUAUAAUUAAGAACUAUUUUUAUAUUUGAUUAUUUUAAGCUUUAGAUUAUUAUAUAAUAAUAUUCUUAUAAAUUUUACUUAGGUUAUUUUCUUGAUCGUCAAUUUCAAUUUGGGGUGGAGCAUUCUUAGGAUGUACUAGUUGAAAUAUUAGAAGGUACAAGAUCAAUAAUUGAAAGAUUAGAACAUUCUCUUAAUACUCAAGUCAGAAUGAUUAAUCAAGUUAGAUUCAAGUAUUAUUAUUUGUAACUUAGUUACAUAAUUUGAAAUGGAAUUAUUUUUUUUCAUUUUUACUCUAUCUUUUUAUUUAUGCAAUUGUUACUAUUUAAAAAUAAACAUGAGAGAUUCGAUACUUCACAAGCACAAAGAGCUUAGAAGCAAAUGAAUCCAGAUAAAUAGUUAAUUAAAUUGUUUAAUUUAAUUUAAUUUUUAUUAUUUAACUAUAUUGUACAUUUUGAAGUUAUUUUUAAAUUUAAAUAAUAUAUGGCACAUGUAUUCCUGAGUUACAAAGAUUAACAAUUAAAGUAGUUGGUCAAACAACUUCUGCAUCAAAUUGUGAACGAAAUUGCAACUCAUUAAGUUAUAUUCACACCAAGGCAAGAAAUAGGUUCAAUUAUAAAAAACUUGAGAAACUACUGUUUACCUACUAUAAUAUAAGGCUUCAGAUAAAGCAUCAAAAAAGAAUGAGCAUUGAUGAUAUAAACACUAGUUUUAAUCCUAUUAGCCUUUAUCAUAUCUUUGUAGAUGUUGAUCGACUAAUCAGAUUUACUUCAAGAGAAAAAGAAUCUAUUGUUAGAUGGUGAAAAUAUCGGUGUGUUGCAUGUGGAUAACUCUAACGGUGAAAUAAAUAUUGAUCAAUUUUAACAACAAACAUGUCUCAUUCAAGUUCUAGUGCAACGCCAAGUUAGAGUGGCGAUAGACAUAAUGGUGAUGGUUUAAGACCAAUUGGUGACGAUGAUGGACAUAGUGGUGAUAGAGGUGAAAUUAGGUCUUCUAGUCAAUAUAGAGGAGAAUGUGAAAUUGGUACCAGUAGUGGAUAUUUCCAUGAUAGUUCAGAAUUUGAUAGAAAUAUUUAGAGAUAAAAGUGAAUUUAGAGCUCCAUCAAAAUGAAAAGGCAAGAAGCAUACUUCUGUAGGCUUUCAUCAUGUAGGAGAUCGAGUUCUAAUAACAUUGGAUAUAGUGAUUCAUCCACUAGCACUCAAGGUUUUUAUCCACCUGAACAACCUUCAUAUUUUCAACUUUCACAUGGUUAUCCAUAACCAUAUGGUUAUUAUCCACCAUUUCCUAAUUAUGAUGUGUCAUUUUAGCUUCAAAUGCAUCAUCCACCACCAAUGUAUCAUUCUCCUCAAAUAUAUCCUCCAUAUCAAUUAUAUGAAAACCAAGUUAAAAAUCUUACAUUUUUUAUAUAUAUUUUUGGACAAAGGUCAUGAGAACCAAGUCAAAAACACUUUGAAAGUGAAGGUGAAGAAUCUGAUCCUCCUCGUCAUUCCACUAAUUGGUGAAAACUAAAUUGUACCACUACCACUAUUUGUAAGGUAUUUUUAAAAAAAAAUAUUUUUGUUAAUGUUUUUAAUUUUAAUGAUAUUAAAACAUUUAAAAUACAUUUAUAGAUAAAUGAAUAAAGUAUAAAACGAUAAUUAAGAAUUGAAGCAUGUUAAACUAUAUAUGAAAGUAGAAUGAGAGUGAGAAUAAGUGGUAGGAAAUAAGAAUAAUUAUGAGAAUCUAUACAUUUAUAACGGCCUAUUUUUUGCAAUAACAAUUUUGGACGACACCGCUACCGCUAUAUAACGGCCGCUAUUUCGCUACCCAACAAUUAUUUAAAUCCCUGGAUUUAACAAUUAUUGUCUAGUGAGGAUUAAAAUUUUAAAAAUUGAAAAGUACAGGGGUUAAAAAUGAACAAAGAUUAAAUCCACAACUUUCAAAAAGUACAGAGAGUAAUGACAAAAUUUACCAAUUUGUUAAUACUAUACUUAAGCUUAACCUGACCCUUUUCGAUCCAUAAACACUUUUAUUCCUAACCCAACUUUUUUUUAAGGAUUUAAUCCAUUUAAUUUUAAACUUAAGAUAAAAAUUUCCUAACUCUAUCCACAAAUAUUUUAAUAAAACUAUACUACUAUAUAUAAAAAGUCCAUCCUUCUUUGACACCCUGUCCUUUACUUUUCUUUUACAUUACUAAUAAUAAUGGUUAAAUUUCUAUUGAGGCCCCUCUACUUUUUAAUUAUACAAAAUGGUCAAAUUUUUAUUUCAAUCCUUAUACCAUGCUUAAAUUUAAUAUUUGAUUUUUAUACUUUAAUUCCAUACAUAGUUUUCUACCUCAAAGUUUAUAAUGUUAUUAGUUAGACUAAAUAUUUUAUUUUAAAUUAAAAUAUUAAAGUAAAUUUAGAGAAUUGUUAACGUCAUUUUUUUUUGUUAUAUUUAGUCCUAUUACAAUGCCAUUUUUCUGACAUGAUCAUGGAAUAGAUACUUUUUUAAAAUUUAGAAGUUCACACCAACAAGUUUAAUAGAAGAAUUUUAGAUUUGAAAAAAUAAAAGGACUAAAUUCUUAAAAAUAAAAAUAUAAAAAUUAGAUUCUAAAAAUACAGAGAGUAGAUUAUAACCUUUAACUUUUAACUAUUUAAUCUAAAAAUAAUUAAGCAUGAAAUGAACCAUACGAAUUAAAAAUAAAAGGUAAGAUUUGGUGAAACAAUCCCACGAGAUAAAGACAGAAAUAAUUGUCUUUUCCUAAGUCAUUAUACCACAUAUAAUUUAGAGAUGCAAACAAGAACCAGAAGAAUUAAAAGGUUGUGUUUGGUAGUAAUUAUUUAGUAAACAAAAUAUUACAAGUGGAAUGUUCAUUUUCUUUAAAAAUAGUUUGAGCUUCAAUUACGAUAGUAGAAAAAACAUUAAAAAUUGGGGAAAGAAUAAUUAAUUAUUUUCUUUCAGGACUUAUAUGUUUUUUUUUUUCAAAUCUUGUUAUAUAAAUAUUAUUCAAUGAAAUAUUGCUUACUCUCACAAAACAAUUCUUUGUUUAUCUUUGAGAUUAUAAUUAGUCUUGAUUUAUAAUUUGUAUUUAUAUUGGAUAAUUUUACUAUUUAAAAAUAUUUGAAUAGUUUAAAAAUAUAGUUAUUAAUUGAUAUGUAGAUAUUAGAUCAGUUAAAGACUUUAGGUUAUAAUGAUGUACGACGGUCCGUUUCAUAAAAUAUUAAUUUUAACCGACAUGGAUAUGCAGGGUUUAUCCUCCCACAAAGAAAAGCAUGUUCAGGGGUUAUCAUUCGAAACGAGAUGGGCCAAACUUUGGUAGCUUGCAGUAGACUUACCAGUUGGGUUCCAUCGGCGUUUGCCGCCGAAGCUCUAGCUGUAAUUCAUGGCCUUCGCUUUGCACUCGAUCUUGACUUCCAAUCUGUGAUUUUAGAAGGGGGCUCAAGGUCGGUCAUCCAAAAAAUAGUGGAUAAUGGGAAGGAUUUAUCGGAAAUAAGAUCGCUUACCUGGGAAGCAAAGGAACUCGCGAAAUCUUUUCGGUUUUGCAGGUUCCAUUUUGUAGAUCGAUCCGGAAACAAGGCAGCGCAUGCAAUGACGCGGGACGGGCUGAGGAGAGACGAGGAUAGAUUCUGGGUGGAGGAGGUUCCCGAUUUGGCUACUGUGACUGUCGAUGAUGAUUACAGAUCUGUAGACCCUCCGUAGGUGUGCUAUUCAGGGUUGGUUUUGAGGGAAUUCAUUUUCACUUUUGGCCCUCGUAUGUCUUUGUUGCUCCCUUGGGUCUUCUUUGUUUGGUUAAAUGGUAGUGAAGGGAGCAUCCAUGGUCGGAAUUUCUGUAAAUUUUGUUUAGGGUGAGUUUGGAUGGACAGUACAUUUACUUGCGGUUAGUGUAAAAAUAGCGGUGACAGUGAGAUUAGAUACUAUAGCGACAUUGUAGCAUGAGACAAAAAGUACGCUAAACGGUUCUGUUUUUUUUUUGUUUGUGUGUUGGUUUUGUUUUGGUCAGGUUGUUUUGGGUGAGUCUGUUUAUCUGACGUCUUAAUUGUUUUUUGGGUUUUGUUUUGACGGUUUAAUUUUCCAAUAAGAGUGACCGGUAUUUAUUCAAAAAAAUGUAUAAAGAUAAUUAAUUUUAAAUUAUAUAAAAGAAUCGACCUCC
rnacentral:lncRNA from 1 species